rnacentral:rRNA from 1 species
CCUACGGGUGGCAGCAGUGGGGAAUAUUGCACAAUGGGGGAAACCCUGAUGCAGCGACGCCGCGUGAGUGAAGAAGGAAUUCGGGAUGGAAAGCUCUAUCAGCAGGGAAGAAAAAGAAGGUACCUGAGCAAGAAGGCCCGGCUAACUACGUGCCAGCAGCCGCGGGAAUACGUCGGGGGCAAGCGUUAUCCGGAGUUACUGGGUGUAAAGGGAGCGUAGACGGCAGGGCCAGUCUGGAGUGAAAGGCGGGGGCGCAACCCCCGGACUGCUCUUGAAACUGUCCGGCUGGAGUGCAGGAGAGGUCAGUGGAAUUCCUAGUGUAGCGGUGAAAUGCUUAGAUAUUAGGAGGAACUCCAGUGGCGAAGGCGGCUUACUGGACUGUAACUGACGUUGAGGCUCGAAAGCGUGGGGAGCAAACAGGAUUAGAUACCCGAGUAGUC